rnacentral:rRNA from 1 species
AGCUCCAGAAGCGUAUAUUAAAGUUGUUGCAGUUAAAAAGCUCGUAGUUGGAUCUGGGUUGCAUGGCCGCACGCCGUGGUUAGUCUCUUGCAUCUUACUGGUGUGGAGGCUGCCUGGUGUCGUGGUUGUGCGAUCUUUCUGCCGUAUCUGUUAAUUCAGGUGCUAGUUGAUUUUCAGCUGGCAUGCUCUCUGAUGCCUUUAAUUGGGUGUCUGGGGCAGACGGCACGUUUACUUUGAACAAAUUUGAGUGCUCAAAGCAGGCCGUAGUGCCUGAAAAGUCUUGCAUGGAAUAAUGGAAUAGGACUUCGGUUCUAUUUUGUUGGUUUUCGGAUCCGAAGUAAUGGUUAAGAGGGACAAACGGGGGCAUUUGUAUGGCGGCGUUAGAGGUGAAAUUCUUGGAUCGUCGCCAGACAAACUACAGCGAAAGCAUUUGCCAAGGAUGUUUUCA